rnacentral:lncRNA from 1 species
GUUCAUUUAUUUUCUUUAGAUUUUUAGUCCCCUAGUUUCCUCUAUGGUUAACUACAACAUCAUGUAAUAAACUUCCCAAAAGGAUUAAAAAAUUUUAAGAAAAUUCUCCAACAAGUUUUAAGUUGAACAUGCAUACUUGAUGGCUUCUGAGUUUUGGUAUUUUGGCUUGUCCUCUUAGUUAACAGUAGUACAACUAUAGCUUUCUCUUCUUAAACCAUUACACAAGCAUGCUUAAUAAUAG